UCCCACUGUCCCUGUCUA
rnacentral:snRNA from 1 species